rnacentral:rRNA from 1 species
UGAGUAACCUGCCCUUAACUCUGGGAUAAGCCUGGGAAACUGGGUCUAAUACCGGAUAUGACUCCUCAUCGCAUGGUGGGGGGUGGAAAGCUUUUUUGUGGUUUUGGAUGGACUCGCGGCCUAUCAGCUUGUUGGUGAGGUAAUGGCUCACCAAGGCGACGACGGGUAGCCGGCCUGAGAGGGUGACCGGCCACACUGGGACUGAGAUACGGCCCAGACUCCGUACGGGAGGCAG